rnacentral:lncRNA from 1 species
AACAAUCUUAGGGAAAAGUAAAGAUACAAGACGUCAUCUGCGCCACAACCGGCGAUGAUAAAUAGACCUAGAUGACUAUCCACCUAUUUUAUUAUUGUGCCGCCAUCCAAACCGGUUGAAGAUACCCUGAGCUACCAUCUCCCAGCGGACACACCCAUUAACCAUAGGCUCCCUGGCUUCCGCAGGAGUGAGUAAUGACCACGUGCGGAUCAAGGCAGUAGCCCUGAAUAUAACCUGCAAAAAAUUGAUGGAAUUGCAUUUGUUAAACACUAAAUCAUUCCUGCAGUUCCAAAUAAACCACAACAAUGUACAUGUCCCCACACGAAUAAGUUGUCCCUGCUGAAAAUCAACACCCUUUAACCACGUCACAAAUAACGUGUUGAUACUGCUAGGAGGCUAAUAUUAAAAGCAAUCUAGACCGAACUCCAUAAAAGUUCCGCAAAAGGGCAUACGAGAAAUAGGUGCUUGAUAGAUUCAUUAUUCUGGCAGUAGUUGCAUCUCAGGUUGCCUUUUCAAUUACGUUUUCCUAAAUUGUCCUUUGUUAGAAUAACUCCUUUGUGGACGGACCACAUGAAUAUCUUUAUUCUCAACGGGACUUUGACUCUCCAAGUAUGUUUGGAAUUUGCAAUCGGCACCACAUCAAUUAGAUGCAAAUACAUAGAUUUGACAGUGAAAGACCCAUCCUUAGUCAAUUUCCAACGAAUAGUAUCUGGUAUAUCCGAAAGAUUGACAUCCAUUAAUCUUCAAACAAGGUGAAGCCAACUGUUCCAUCUGGCGCCUAUCAAGGCUCUCCGAAAUUGAAUAUCUAGAGGUGUCGCAAAUAAUAUUCUUGCAACGGACGCUUGUCGGCGUUGUACAAUAUUAUAUAGCUGCGGAUACUGUAAAGCUAAGGGCGUCCCCCCUAACCAUGUAUCUUUCCAAAAUCUAGUCGAUUCACCAUUACCAACGAUGAACCUAGUUCUGUGGAAAAAAGCGUGUUUAGACCGCAUUAAUCCCUUCCAAAAGGGUGAGUCAGUUGGUCUAACUAUCGCUUGAGCUAAGGUCUUAUUUUGUAAGUACUUAUUCCUCAGAAUUUGUACCCACAUGCCUUCGGAUUCCACCGAGAUUCUGUACAGCCAUUUACUAAGUAAACAUCUCUUUUUGACCUCUAAAUUUUCAAUCCCUAAACCACCUUGCUCUUUUGGUCUGCAAAUGAUGUCCCAUUUAGAAAGUCUAUAUUUAGUCUUUAUCGCAUCGCUUCGCCAGAAAAAAAACGAGACCGAAAGAAACCCAACCUUUUCCGUACCCCCACUGGUAUUUCAAAAAAGGAGAGAAGAAACAUAGGCAUACUUGUUAAUACCGAAUUAACAAGUACUAAACGUCCUCCAUGGGAUAAAAGCUUGCCCUUCCAGCAGCUUAACUUUUUUUCGAAUCGGUCCUCGAUACACUUCCACUCCUUAUUUGUGAGCCUCCGGUGGUGAAUGGGAAUGCCUAAGUAAGUAAAAGGCAAUUCCCCACUCUUACAACCAAACAGUUGGUUGUAAGUGUGAUGUUCAUCUUUGAUGUUUCCAAAACAGAAUAAUUCACUUUUGUUGAAGUUAAUCUUCAACCCAGAGAGCUGCUCAAAUAAGCAUAAAAUGAGUUUCAUGUUUCUGGCUUUGUCUAAAUCAUGCUCCAUAAACAUUAUCGUAUCGUCAGCAUACUGUAGAAUAGAGACACCCCCAUCCACUAGAUGAGGUACUAGUCCCCUACUAAUUCUUUGUCACUGGCCCUCCUAAUGAUCAAAGCCAACAUAUCUGCAACAAUGUUGAACAAGAUUGGUGACAUAGGAUCUCCUUGUCUUAGACCCUUCAGAGUCUGGAAAAAAUGUCCAACGUCAUCGUUGACUUUAAUGCCGACACUACCAUUUUUAACAAAACAGUCGACAUGCUUGCGCCAGAGCUGAUCAAACCCCUUCAUGCGCAAGGUUUGUUGUAAGAAGGACCAUUUGACUUUAUCGUAUGCUUUUUCAAAGUCCACCUUAAAAAUCACCCCGUCCAACUUCUUGGAAUGUAUCUCAUGCAAUGUUUCAUGCAGAACCACAACCCCUUCUAGGAUGUUACGUCCCGGCAUAAAGGUUGUCUGGGUAGAUUGCACCACCGAAUCUGUUACUUUGGACAAUCUAAUAGUUCCCACUUUUGUAAAAAACUUGAAACUAACAUUGAGCAGACAAAUAGGUCGAAACUAUUCAAUGCGCACCGCUCCUUCCUUCUUUAGCAACAACGUAAUGGUAUCAAAAUUAAGAUGAAAGAGCUUUAAACACCCACGAAACAAGUCCCCAAACAUUGGCAUAAUAUCAUCCUUAAUUAUAUGCCAACAUUUCCUAUAAAACUCCGCCGGAAACCCAUCUGGUCCUGGCGCUUUAUUGUUUUUCAUCUGCCCAAUGGCCUCAAGCACCUCUUUCUCCGUAAAAGGGGCGGAUAAAAAACUCAUUAUCGACAUCUCCGACCUGAGGAAUAUCCGCUACACUUUGCUCAUCCAUGGUGAUAAAACUGGGGUCUGAAGCUCCAAAGAGUUGUUUAUAAUAAGAUGAGAUGUAAAGUUUUAUAUUCUCGUGACCUACAAUGGUCCCCUCAUCCUGCUCUAGUUGCAAGAUUCUCUUUUUCCUAUGCUUGCCAUUUGCAAUCAAAUGGAAGAAUUUUGUAUUAUUAUCCCCAUGGAUAAUAGCCUUUACUUUGGCGCAACUGGCCCAUUUCAUCUCCUCCUCUCUAAGGAGAACUCAUGUUUGGAUGCCGCUUAGUUGCAUCUAACACACAAGACUAGGCUUUGCGAUCGAGGUCAUCUGUAAAUCGAAGAAGCCUGUCUUGCUCCUCCUUAUAUAUCCCGAACUUAUUUUUUGCCCACCCUCGUAGGAAUUGCCUAAGAUGCCUAUCUUGUUUUGCCAUCUAUCGACGCUAGACUUCCCGCCGCACUCCCUACUCCAUUCCCGGGCAAUCAUAUCCAUGAAUCCGUCUCUCAGAAACCAACUGGUUUCGAACGAGAAGCUAUUCUUGUCCCCCAUAUGCUUUGCUUCACCGGAAUCAAGUAAUAAUGGAGUGUGGUCCGAGAUCGCUCUUUGUAAAGCAAAGACGGUUACUAGCGGGAACUUUUGUUCCCACUUGAUGCUAGCGAGAACCCUGUCAAGUUUCUCAAAAGUAUGUUUCUGUAAAGAGUUAGCCCAGGUGAAUUUCCUCCCUGAGAGUUCAAUCUCUCUCAGAUCCAAGCUCUCAAUGAUUGUGUUAAACAUAAAUGGCCAUCUGCCAUCGAAAUUAGCAUUGCUCUUUUCGUUAGACCGCCGAAUGAUAUUGAAAUCACCUCCCACUAAAAGAGGUAGCUUUUCGUCACAUAUCCGGACUAGAUCGGCGAGAAAGUCUGGUUUGAACUCUGACUGAGUUGCACCAUACACAACCACUAGAGCCCACUAAAAACCAUCAUUCUUUGAUCUAAUUCUAAACUUAACUGCAAAUUCCCGGAGCACCACUUCACGCACCUGAAUGGAUUCGCACCGAACUCCAAGUAAAAUCCCGCCGGAUCUUCCUCUUGGAGGGAGACAGUGCCAAUCAAACUCGACACCUACCGACAGAGUGCUAAGAAACUGCUUUGUAAAGUUAUCCCACCCUGUCUCCAUGAGCGCAAUAAAGUCGAGUUUAUGCUCUAACGUACCCUCUGCUAGAAACCUAAUCUUAGCCAAGUCUUUUAGACCUCUUUCGCACCGCCGAAACCAGAUACACUUUCCGUUUCCAGGCUCGCUUGGGUUUGUCAACACCUGCAUCCUGGUCCAUAUAACCAGUGUGCCGUGACUCUAACCCCCUAGAGUGCCCCUCAUCCUCAAAACAUUGACCAGAGGGAUGAUCAUCCUCCUCCUCCUGACCUUUGAGUGGAUCCAGAUUAUCACAUAGAGAAUUCAACUCUCCCAGUGCAUCAAUUUGAGAAUCAUUCAAGGGUUUGACAGUAGCCAAAUUCCUAACAAUGUCCAAUGCACGAUCAACCUCUAAGUCAAGCAGGUCAUUAAUAGAUUUCGCAACUUCUCUACUAGUGUUCCCCAGGGAGACCCCAAUAGAAUUAGACUUGUAUAAAAUUUCUAGUGGCGAAAAAUGAAUAAUAGAAUUGGCCUUAUUAAAUGACAUACCUGUCGAGAUUUCGGCAUCCUUUAUUUUUGCCGCACGCAUAGCUCUCCCCAUCUGCAAGUCAUCCACAUCUGGUUGUGUCUGUAUCCUCCGACUGGACCUCCUGUCGUCUGUCAUCGGAUCAGCAAUGCCACCAAAAGCUAUAACCCGCUCAGCAGAAAACUCAUCCUGGAUGUCCUCCGAACUCAUCACCACUGCUGGAGUAGAGUUAGUCCAAUACUGAGAAGCUCCUGUAUCACCGGCAGCCUGGGCCAUAUUGGCCGAAUGAUGGAGAGGUGACGUGGGAGCCGGCAUCCCCGGACUAGCUGUAUCAGCUUGUAGCGGGCGCUACCAAGCCUAGAGACUAGCCGGGCAUAGCACGACAGCGUCCUACCUCGCUGUCUGCACUGGCUCGGUCGGCAACCCAAGAGGUUGCCUAUCCUCUGCCUGCUACCCGAGAGGCUGCAACGCAACAGCCUGCUGCCGAAGUGACAGAACCUCCUCCCUCCUGGUAGUUCAAAAAAUCAGCAAGAGAGAUAGCCGGUAGACCCUCAUUAGCAGGAGUACUAAUAAGAAUACCCUGCUUAGCAAUAGACGGAGCCGCCUCAUGAUCCAAGGAAGGUUCUUUACCCAAUGCUGACUUAAGCAAUAGCUGCGCUGACUUAACUCUCCCAAUCCGAGCCGGCGCCGAAGCUGGUUCAAACGAGCCAAACUUCAACUCAGACAUCAGAGGUAAGUCUAAAGGACCAUCUGUACCUCCCUCCUGAUAUGACUGACUAUCAUGUUCCUUCUCCUUAAAGUUAUUAAAAGGCCCACCCUUCCUUUCCGAUUCCUUCGAGCCAGCAGCAUCAUCACCAUCAGUCAUAUGAACAUCCCCACCUACUACCUCGUUCUCGAACAUUGGGGGACUCUCAAUCUCCAACUGAAGCGUAUAUCUCAUUCCCGCAUAGGUCCACAUAACCUCAUCGGGAACUAGCUCGAUAUCUACCACAUUAACAAGUAACCUGGCAACUCCUUUGGCACGAGUGAAUGCCAUAUCCAUUUUUUCCGUCUUCCCAAUAAGAGAUCCCAAGCUCCAUGAAACCAAAAAAUCAUUAAGCGCCCUUGAUGGAACCCCGGCGAAGUGAACCCAAAUCUACGCUAAUGGGACUCCUUGAGGCUCCUCGGUCUUCCAAGCAUCAAACUCCAGCACACAGCUAGUACUGGGGACUCUGCACAUGCCAAACUUAAGCAAGCGCGCGAGAUCCUCCUUAGUAGGGAAAACCACCUUAAAAACAUUGUCCGCAAUCAAGACAGGUUCCCACGGAAAUGUCGAGGACACAAGUUCUCGAAGUUGUUCCACAAUCUGUUCAGAAGUCAUAGUCCCUCUCGUAACAGUUACCGUCCGAGUAAAAGCAUGGUCCGCCACAUGAACCAUAGAUGCAACCGAUGGUGACUCAAAAAUCAUGAGCUCUGGGCAACACACACCAAAAAUAGACACCACCGGCAUGGGACCUGUAGUUAGCGGGCAUUUACCGAUACCGUGCUUAGGCUUUAGGCAUAUCUCACAUAGCUCAGCCGUGCACUCUGAAACAAAAUGCCCCGUCUCACUGCACCGAUAACAGGUCAUUUUUUCCUUCUUACGCGCCCACUUAGUUGGACGAUCCCCUCCUUCAGUUUUGUCAAAAACAGCUACCUUAUCCACCGGAAUAGGAAGUGCCUCUGAACGUUGUUCCUUCUCGGAACCCUUGCCUAUCCCCAUCUGCCGCGCCGAACCUGCCUGGGUAUGUGGCCCCUGCGCCGGCUCCUCAGCCGUUGUACGUGAAGCAGCUGGCGGUGGUAGGGGAGGCUUUGGCUUCCUUCCACCACCCCUACCAGCAUAAUUGGGGCGAUAGCCACCCCUCUUAGGGUUCGGAAGGCCCGACACCCCCUGCACAUAUUGUCCGAGAGGUCCAGAGAACCCUCUUCCACCGCCUCCAUUGCCUCCAUUACCCUGCCAAGCGUACCCAUGACCUCCUCCCGCAGACGAAGAUCCUCUAUGUUGUCCCUCUUCAUAAGCAUCGAACCCAUCAUCCCCCCACCUUCCGCGUGGUUGUUGUCUGCUAGCUUCUGCCGGCUUGGUCGUAGGCAUGCCUGCAGGCACAGCCGCCGAGCCUUGGGCGACCUCCUGCGGUCGGCUACCAGCAGCCGCAUGCUUUCCCGCCGGCGCGCUCAUCCUCGGUCCCGGCGGAUUUCCUCUGCCAGCCAUGACCUUCACUAACGUCGGCGGAGGCAGUACCCUCGCCGCUCGUCCUGCCUGGAGACGAGGGAACCCAGGACGCACUCGUACAGGAACCCUAGUCUCCACGACCCCGAUAUCUGGCGAGGGAACAUUCUCGGACGAUGGGCUUAAGUGAAUUGCGUCGCCCUCGGGCUCGGCCACCUGGGCCACAUACCCAGUACCUGGCAGGCCCACUCCGUUGCAAUUUGACGACAACCCAACAUCAAUCCCGAUCGAAUUCAAAAACGCCUUCCUGGAAUUACUCUGUGCUUGAACAGGUGCUAUCGCCUGAUACAACGUACCUGCCAUCUUUUCCUUCUUCCUGCUCUUCCUGACUGCACGCCAAGCGCCAGGCACGAAGAAAUCGGACAACGUAACAGGUGGUAAGCUCACCUUUGGCACAUGACCGAUCCACGGAUGAAUUCGCU